UCCCUUUUCAGUGGGACAGAAACUUCUGUCCACAUGUCAGUGACUGGAUGUGCCAAAGCCCUUGCUAUAUCUGGAGCUACUGUCACUAUUCCAGUGUUCGGAGACAGGGGAUUGAGGCUCACAGUUUAAGGAGGGUCCCUCAAUGCACAGUGCCUGAGAAGCUGAGGCAGGACCUGUUUUACCCAAUGGAAAUUGUUCUCCACAAGCAUCCAUCUUUAGGAAGUGGCUCUUCAGGUAGGAAUUCUUCUGGGAGGCUCAGGAAUCCACACCCAGUUGUAUAAAUCUCAUCUAGAUGACUUCCCUGCACUCAUUUCUGGUCCUGUUUCUUGGCUCAAAACAAUUGAGCUGCCCCAGGACUGUCCUCGCAGCCACAUGUGCAUAGAAAGAGGGUUAAGGUAAAUGUAAAAAAAAAAAAAUGUAAGUCUAAAUUCUUCAUAGGGCCCACUGCCCAUUUUCAUUAGGCCUUUGGCCAUUUCCAUUCAGGCAAUGAGCGUGACUUUUAACAAGUGGUCUCCGUCUGGCUUGACCAUCCUAGCUGUGUGUACUACCUCAGAAACUUACCAUUUGGACAGAAACCCAUCCUCAGGAGGCCCAGGGCAUUAUUCAUACAAACGUUUCUGGCCUUGCCUUCUUCCUGUUCUCUUAGCCUUCUGCAUAAGGGGCCCUUCCAUGAUUCCUUGGCACCACUGAAGAGCCCUGAUUCUUCAGUUCCACAGCCACCCUUGGCUCAAGACUAAAACUUCUCUCUUUUUCCCACGUGGCACGUGUGUGGUUUGUGUGUCUGAGUUUUGGAGAUGGAAAAUCUGCUUCCCAAGAUGUCCCAGUGGUCCAGAGAGCAGCCUGCUAGACACUAUGGGGGGAGGUGCAACUUUGUCAUGGUGUCACCUCCUUCAUCUCAGGUGUAGGAAGAGGGCAGAUUAGUAACAACAAUAAUAAAUCAAUGCAUCUAUGUGUAACAUUCUAUAAAAAGUCAAGUCAUCUCUGUGUAAUGUUAUUGUUUAGAAGACAGUACCACACCCAGAAGACCUUCAGAAGGGACAUGAAAUAAAUUCACUUUUAGUCAAACUACCCAAGCUCAGAACCCAAUCUCCAUUUGGGGUUUCCUUGUGUUUACACCCUCUCCCUGUCAUUUUCUGAUGCUAGGCUCAGGGACCAGAUUCUCUUCUUUUUCUGAGCACGCAUGCAUCUUGUUUAUUCAUUGCUCACCUCACAUCGACGAAGGCCUUUGGCAGCUAAGUAAGAUGGCCAAGUGGUCCAAGGGACUUGGCUAAAUAGAGGUGAAAGGCAUUUAAAAUAAAUGCAAGGGAUGGUUAGUAGGCGAAACGGUGGAUGUUGGCCAUCCUUCCUCUUUACCAACUUCCCAGGCUGCCCUUUAGAUUAACUUAGCAGCUUCUUCACUUGAGACUCUAGAGACAGUGGCUAUGGUUUUGACUUAGCCUUUCUAAGCAACAAUAGC
rnacentral:lncRNA from 1 species